AGACACGAGCUGUCUCGCCAAGCCCCGUCCUCCUUUUUCGGUAGAGUAGGCCCCGUUCUUUUUAAUUCCAUACGCAAAUCAUGAGAUUCUCGAAGGACGGAGCUCCAUCUCUCGUCCUGUAAAGCUACAGGAGUCCUUGGCUAGACCUCGAAGGCGCCUCCUAUACCUGCAAAGGCGACCGUUGACUCCCUCUCUACCUCUUCGUGGUGGCCUCUGACAGCCCACUACCACCCCUCGCCCCGUGAUCCAAGUUCUUUACGGUUUUAAGCCAAUCCACCCGUGACCAAGCUUAUAUAACUCUGUUCUUUUACCCGUUUCACUCUUCUCUUGAAUUCAUAAAAAUGCCUCGCUCUUUGGGUGGUUGUACAAAUCACUUGAAUUUUUCCAAGAAUUAUCGUUAUAUUGCUUCUUCUCGUCAUGAUCUCCUUGUCAGAAUUCAGGUUAUCUAAGUCCGGCUAUCUCUGUCUAUCUAUUGCCUUUUAGAUGGUGAUGUUUAAAUUCUUUUUUUCUAGAUCUUCUCCUUUUGUUUCUCCCUGCUCUGAUGUCUCUGUUCCUGAAAUCCUAAUUUCGAACUAGAGAACCGAUUCCUGUCCCCAUCUCCUGAUCUUUUUCUCCUAUAUGAACUGCUUCAGCAGUGGGUGGUCAUUAAUCUCUAGCAUAUCAAUUCCAUUCCUCCAACCAUAAAGUUAUCCUAUUUCCCUCCAAUUCCCUCUCAUAGACAAGUCCGUUCUGUACAGAGAAGUAAGAAUGAAGUAUACCUUGUGGUUUUUCCAGUUGUUUGCAACCUUUUGUUGCUUUCUCGCCCUCGGCUUGCCACUGGAUGAUCGAGGGGCUCGACUGCUCCUGGAAUUCAAGAAAGAUCUCAUCGAUGUAGAUAAUAACCUCUGGAACUGGAAUUCAUCAGAUUCGAGCCCUUGCCAUUGGAAUGGCAUCGGCUGUAUCAAAUUUGAGGUAACCUCUAUCGUUCUCCAUGACUUAAAGCUCCAAGGUAGCUUAUCUGCCAGCAUUUGCCACCUCCGUUUCCUCACCGUUUUUAAUGUUUCCAAGAACAAGAUCUCUGGUUCCAUCCCCACAGACUUGGCCUCCUGUGGGAAUCUAGAGGUUCUUGAUCUCAGCACCAAUGAGUUCCAUGGGGAGAUCCCCCCGGAGCUCUGCGGGCUGUCUUUGCUCAGGAAACUCUUCCUGAGUGAGAAUUAUCUGCAUGGCGAGAUCCCGUCGAGCAUUGGUAACUUGACGUGGCUGCAAGAGCUCGUCAUUUACAGCAACAACCUCACCGGCAAGAUUCCCCCGUCGAUUAGACUGAUGAAGAAUCUUAGGAUCAUUCGAGCCGGUCUGAAUAACCUGUCGGGUCCGGUGCCGGUGGAAAUGAGCGAGUGUGAUAGCCUAGAGAUUCUUGGGCUGGCUCAGAAUAGGUUGGAAGGAUCUCUUCCUAGAGAGCUUGAGAGGCUGAAGAAUUUGACCAAUCUGAUUCUUUGGCAGAACGUGCUAUCCGGUGAGAUUCCGCCGGAGCUCGGCAACUGCACUAGUUUAGAGAUGAUCGCCUUGAAUGACAAUGCUUUCACUGGAGGUGUUCCUAAAGAAAUUGGAAGGUUAUCAAUGCUGAAAAGGUUGUAUCUUUAUACCAACCAAUUAGAUGGAACAAUUCCUAGGGAGCUUGGAAAUUGUGAGAGUGCACUCGAGAUCGAUCUUUCCGAGAAUCGCUUGACCGGAAUUAUUCCCAGAGAGCUUGGCCGAAUUCAGACUCUUCGGUUGCUUCAUCUUUUUGAGAACCUCCUGCAGGGUAGCAUUCCCAGCGAGCUUGGCCAGUUGAGUCUUCUGAAGAGGAUAGAUUUGUCGAUCAAUAAUCUUACAGGCACAAUUCCUCUAGAGUUUCAGAACCUUUCCUCCUUGGAGUACUUCCAACUCUUUGACAACAAUCUUGAGGGAGUCAUUCCUCCUCUGCUAGGAUCCAACAGUAACCUCUCUGUUCUUGAUCUUUCAGACAACAAGCUCACUGGUAGCAUUCCUGCUUAUCUUUGCAAAUACCAAAAGUUGAUCUUUCUGAGCCUUGGCUCGAAUAUGUUGUCUGGAAACAUCCCUCAUGGCGUGAAAACUUGCAAGCCACUCGUACAGCUAAGAUUGGGGGGUAACCUUCUAACAGGAAGUCUCCCUGUCGCAUUAUCUGGGCUGCUAAAUCUAUCUUCUCUGGACAUGAGUCAAAACCGAUUCUCCGGACCCAUACCUCCAGAAAUAGGCAAGCUCAAAAACCUUGAGAGGCUCUUUCUUUCAGAUAAUUAUUUUAUUGGCCAUAUCCCUCCUGAAAUUGGAGAACUAGCUGAUCUUGUGAGCUUCAACAUUUCCUCAAACCAGCUUUCUGGAGCUAUACCUCGUGAGUUAGCAAAAUGUACAAAGCUGCAGAGGGUUGAUCUUAGCAGAAAUUGGUUCACUGGAUUUGUUCCGAAAGAUCUUGGUAGUUUAGUUAAUUUGGAACAGUUGAAGCUGUCUGAUAACCAUCUCAAUGGCACCAUCCCGAGCAGCCUGGGGCGCCUUUCUCGGCUUACUGAACUGCAGAUGGGAGGGAAUAAUUUUUCUGGUCAUAUACCAACUGAGCUGGGCCAGCUCACAACCCUGCAAAUUGCUCUCAAUAUCAGCUACAAUGUGCUUUCUGGGGAGAUACCAUCUGAGCUUGGGGACUUGCAAAUGUUGGAAAAUCUGUACUUAAACAACAAUCAGCUUGAUGGUGAAGUGCCGGCAUCAUUCGGCGGUCUCUCCAGCCUCCUAGUUUGCAAUCUCUCAUAUAAUAACCUUUUUGGAUCAUUGCCUAACACUCCUUUAUUCAGAAGAAUGGAUGAUAGCAACUUUCUAGGAAACGAUGGGUUGUGUGGAAUGAGUACAAAAGCUUGCCAGCCCACACCUUUGCCAUCCGACGCAGCAGAAUCGGGUUGGGCAACAAAGGAAGCCUCGAAGGAGAAAAUAGUUAGCAUUUUUGCUGUAAUUGUGGGAUCAGUUUCCUUGUUCUUGACAGUGGGUGUUUGUUGGUCUCUAAAGCGUCGCAUACCUGAUCUUGUUUCACGCGAAGAUCGUAAACAUAGCAUGUCUGAUCUCUCUUAUUUUCCCAGGGAGGGUAUCGCAUAUCAAGAAAUUCUUAAAGCCACAGAUAAUUUCUCAGAGUGUAAUGUUAUGGGAAGGGGUGCCUGUGGAACAGUAUACAAGGCCGUCAUGCCGGAUGGGUCCAUAAUUGCUGUUAAGAAGCUGAAAUCCCAAGGAGAGUGUUCAAGUGUUGACAGCAGUUUCCAUGCCGAGAUAUCCACCCUCGGAAAUGUUCGUCACCGCAACAUUGUCAAGUUCUAUGGUUUUUGCUACCAUCAAGAAUCAAACCUUAUAUUGUAUGAAUAUAUGGCAAAUGGUAGUCUUGGGGAACUGCUGCAUGGUAACCGGGACACAUGUCUGCUUGAUUGGGAUACUCGGUACAGGAUUGCUCUUGGAGCUGCGGAGGGCUUGCGCUAUCUUCACUGCGACUGUAAACCUCAAAUUAUACACCGUGAUAUAAAAUCAAACAAUAUUCUGUUGGAUGAAACAAUGGAAGCUCAUGUAGGAGACUUUGGCUUGGCAAAAUUAAUUGACAUUUCACACUCCAAAACCAUGUCCGCAGUUGCUGGUUCGUAUGGCUAUAUUGCCCCAGAGUAUGCUUUCACGAUGAAAGUGACAGAGAAAUGUGACAUCUAUAGUUUCGGUGUUGUUCUAUUGGAAUUGAUCACUGGACAACCUCCAAUUCAGCCUCUGGAGCAAGGAGGGGAUCUGGUAAAUUGGGUGAGAAGGUCAAUGCAGAACUUAACGCCAUCAUCUGGGAUCUUUGACCACAGGCUGGAUUUGAAUUCAAAGAGCACAGUUGAAGAGAUGUCUUUGGUUUUAAAAAUUGCUCUAUUUUGCACUAGCGAAUCACCAUUUGACAGACCGACCAUGAAAGAAGUCAUAGCAAUGUUGAUUGAUGCCAGAGAUUCCUCAUCUAUUUCUCCUUCAUCUCCAUCAUCAGAAGCACCAUUAGAAGAAGAUGCUUCCUUCAGAGAAACAGAACUGCUCUAUUCAUCCGGAGGCACAUCCUGUGGACCUUCAUAAGUGAUCAAUGUUAGAUUUUUAUCAGUGAUUCUUGAGAAGCAUUUUAGCGUUACCAUAUGAUGGAGAGUCCUGCUUAUGGCCAUAUCGGACGUUGAGCUUAUGCAGCGCAGAACAUUGAACUAAGCUGUUCCUUCAGCUCUACUGAUCUAGCAAGCUUUCCUCCUAGGUUAACUUUGCAAGAUAGUGUUGUGCUAUUCAAAUUGUAAUUUUAUGAGAGGGUUACUUCACAUUAUAUACAAAGAUGAUAGAGGGGAGUUCUCAGAAAAAUUGCAACUAACAUAAAGUGGGCAUGAGCCAGCAUGCAAAGGAGAAAGAUGGAACCUGUUUGCGGAGUAAUUCUAUCACACUUGUGUCAUUCAAUCUGGACCAUUUUUGCAAAUUUUAGCCCUCUCAGUAAUCCAGCAGAAGUUCUUUAAAGGCCUUGUCUUGGUGAAACCAAAACGCAAUAUAAAGAUACACUUGCAGUGCAUUUGAGGUAGUAGAAAAGGAGUUUGCUGUUGUAGUCGGUGCAGGAACAGCCGGUCAUAGAUUAUUAAACACUGAAGUAUAUUCCCCUGUCAUUGCCUCUAAUUGACCGAUAGAAUUAAGGAGGGGAAUUGAUGCUUUCCUAUUUAUCUAAUUCCAUCGGAAACUUGAUAGACACUGAUUUGCUUUUUCCUCCUUUCUGCAUAACUGUAUUGAGCUUCUAAUGCAAUAGAUGAUUUACCAUAGCUGGAGGAGUUCAUGCUAUCCUUGGGAAUUUGAUAUUGUCGAGUCUUUUAAAUUCAAAGUAUCAUGCUGGUGUGCUAGAGAAGAAUAACAAUGGAAAUGGAGUUUGUUUACAUGAGAAGGUAGUGUUGCCAUAAGGCUCCAGGAGAUACAGAUGUGGCUGAAGCUAGAUGUCAUCUGAGAUCCACGACGUCGGAGGAUACCGACAAAGAAAGUUCAUACUCAUCAGAGGUGUUCCAAUGGAAGACCCUCCGAUGCUUAAGUUAGUCAAAGUUUUAGGAAUUGCGAAGAGAAGAAAAUAAGAGUCGGAAGAAUGCAAAGAGUUCUCCUUCCUCCUUCCACCAAGGUUUGUACUGCUCUUGAGUACUUGUGUUUGCUUUUUCUUACUUGUUGUUCCUUACUUAAGAGUUUCCCUCCCCUUCAUAUCUUUUUUUGUGUGGAGGUUGAGUCUGUAGACUGCUAGCCGAAAUCUGUAGAUUUGUUAAGCCUAGCUCUAUAGGCCAUUAAACCAUAUUCUGGCCAUUUAUUAAGGUAAGAAAUUUUUC